GCAUUCUAUUAUGGUAAGAUCUUAUACAUUUAGCAGACAACCUUGGGUCUGGCUCAGGAAAAUCAGGGCUCAGUGAGGUUGGCACACACCCGAAGAACUGUGAUCUGGCUACUAUAUCCCUUUCCUUUCUUGGACUGUUAACAUGUUGGUAUCAAUCUCCUGAUCAGCUGAUCUAGUUGCCCAGAUUCUGCAACCAAUGUUUCCACUAGUUGUGGGAAAAUGCUCAGGAGGUAAAUCUGUGGCAACAGCAAACAAAUGACAGUCCUCAGUGUUUGGUUCCUUAAGGACCGAUCCUAGUAACAAAAGUACCCAAGGUAUAUGUCCCUAUUUCCUGACUGCCAUCUUUUUGUGUGUGCAAUGUGCUGAGCCAGCUCAGGUUUGGGGCGAGGCCUAGUACUGGCUUCCGGCAGAAGAGCAAGGAAAAAGAUGGCUGCCUCCGUGAGGGAACUCUGGAGGAAAAUAUCUGAGUGUGGCAAUAUCUCCCAGUUGGUUUCUGGUAGGGCUAGUGCACUAGAUGCACACCUGUGGCGCAGGCAGCAGCCAUCUGGUCUCUUAUAUAGGACCUUACUUCCUCACUAAGUGGUGCCUGCCAGUGCUACCCUGAGCCCCAGUUCUAGACUCAAGUAGCUAUGAUCUGUUAUGACCUCAGACCUCAUCCCAAGCUCUGGAUCCUAUUCAGUCCAUAAACUAAUGCAGCCCUGGCCCCUUAGGAAAAAGUUUCUGAAUAGUAGGGGAAUUACAGAAACAGCAUCAUGAUACUGAUUUAAGACCAACAGUGACCAGGGUCAGGCCAGGAGUUUUGGCUAAUGAUUACUUCAUCUGAAAAGGUAAGGGCAAAAAUCAUUUAAUGUAAAAACCAAAUAGAGGGCUGGAGGUGUGGCUCAAGCGGUAACACGCUCUCCUGGCAUGCACGGGGCGCUGAGUUCGAUCCUCAGCACCACAUAAAAAAAUAAAGAUGUGUCCACCGAAAACUAAAAAAAAUAUUAAGAAACAAAUAGAGCUGGGCACGGUGGCACAUGCCUAUAAUCCCAGUUAUUCCAGAGGCCAGCCUCAGCAAUUUAGGCCCUGUCUCAAAAAAUAAAAGGUCUUAAAGAUGUAGCUCAGUGGAAAACUCCUCUUGGUUCAAUCCCCAGUAUAAAAACUACGUAUACAAAUUGAGCAGUCCUAAUCCAAAGUAAAAAUUCUUCAAAAUCUGCCAACAUGACUCUCCAACAUUUUGGAUUUUGGAGCAUGUCACAUUGUGAAUUUCCAGAUUAGUCAAACUCAAGUGGUAAUGCAAAUAUUCCAGAAUCCCAAAGAUUGGACUUCUGGUCCCAAGGAUUUUGGAUGAGGAAUACUCAAGCUAGAAAAGAUAAGAGAAGCCAAAUGAGCAGUAGUGUACAUCUAUAAUCCCAGUUACUUGGGAGCUGGAGGCAGUAAGAUCCGGAGCUGGAGGCAGUAAGAUCCCAAGCUGGAGGUCAGCCUGGGCAAUUUAGUCAGACCCUGGCUGGGGAUAUAGUUCAGUGGUUAGUGCUUGCUUAGCAUAUGUGAGGCCCUUGCUUCAAUCUCCAGUACCAUACAGUGGGAGUGGAGGGGAAUCAAGAGGAGGAUAAUAGAAAAAUC
rnacentral:lncRNA from 1 species